rnacentral:rRNA from 1 species
AUUGAACGCUGGCGGCAUGCCUUACACAUGCAAGUCGAGCGCGAAAGGGGGCAACCCCGAGUAGAGCGGCGGACGGGUGAGUAACACAUCGGAACGUGCCCAGUAGUGGGGGACAACCUCGAGAAAUCGAGGCUAAUACCGCAUACGACCCACGGGUGAAAGCGGGGGACCGCAAGGCCUCGCGCUGUUGGAGCGGCCGAUGUCCGAUUAGCUAGUUGGCGGGGUAAGAGCCCACCAAGGCGACGAUCGGCAGCUGGUCUGAGAGGACGACCAGCCACACUGGGACUGAGACACGGCCCAGACUCCUACGGGAGGCAGCAGUGGGG